rnacentral:rRNA from 1 species
UACGAAGGGGGCUAGCGUUGUUCGGAAUUACUGGGCGUAAAGGGCGCGCAGGCGGUCGCUCAAGUCAGGCGUGAAAGCCCCGGGCUCAACCUGGGAAUAGCGCUUGAGACUGAGCGACUUGAGUUCGGGAGAGGAGAGCGGAAUUCCCAGUGUAGAGGUGAAAUUCGUAGAUAUUCGCAAGAACACCAGUGGCGAAGGCGGCUCACUGGCCCGAUACUGACGCUGAGGUGCGAAAGCGUGGGGAGCAAACAGG